CCGCUAGGCAUAUCUGUCCGCCGUUCCCCAUUCUCAACAUGCACACUCGCUCCACCGCCCCCGUUACACCUAUCCACCUCGUCAGGCCGGCCCUCGCUAAGCUCAGCUGCGCCCGCACCGCGCCGCGCCCAGCUGCGCCUGCCGCCCGUGCCACGCCCAGCUGCGUCUGCCGCCGGCGCCAAAUCUCUGCUAGCGGGAGCGGAAGGAUAGGAAGGAGAGAAGCCGCAUGCACUGACUUCCUUCCCCAUCGCCGGCGCUAGGUUUAGAUGGCCCCUUCUCGUCGAAUCCGGCCGCGCCGUAGUCAGGCGCUCGAGCUCUAUCGGGCGACCCAGCGCAAGGCGGCGUCUGAGGCGGAUGCGGAGGUGUCGGAUUCGUCUCUACCGGAUCGGCGGCUGCGGCACCAGUUGCAGCGGAUCGGGCGCUUCUCUUUCACCGGCGAGCUGCCCGUCGGCCGCGUAAGGGGAGGAGUCGAAGGAGCUGGUGUCGCGCUCAUCCUCGCGUUGGCCCGAUGUGAGAACUCCCGCUCCGCGCGCCGCCCGCAGUUGCGAAAGAACAUUGAAGGGAUGCUCGUGGAAGAUCAGGUCAAGAAGGUGCGAGAAGAACGUUGAUGGAUGCUCACGGAAGAUGAGGUCAAGAAGGUGGAUACGCCCAUGAUGCAUAGGAUGGUGUAAGAGGUGCAGGGAGCCGACGGCCUGUCCGCAGUGAGGAGGUGAUGGAGGAACAACCACCCACUUGAGGGUGGGUACAUGGUAGCCAGGGCGCUGACUGGGAAGGCGACGCUGCUGCCGGGCGGCGAGGUCGUCGUCCACCAAGGCGAUGAUGCUUCCGUGUGGCGAGGGGAUCAACCACAGUGAGGAGGUUAACAUGAUGGAUGAGUAGUCUGCUCGUGAUGAAGACCCUUAACUAUGAUGUCAUCUAGUCUCAUUUGCUACGGGGCAGCGAGGGCGCCGACCAGGAUGGCAACGCUGCUGCUGGGCGGGGAGGUCAUCGUCCAUCAAGGAGACGAUGCUUCAGUGUGGCGAGGGGAUCAACCUCAGUGAGGAGGUGAUGGAGGAACAACCACACACUUGAUGGGUGGGUACAGGGCGGUGAGGGCGCCGACCAGGAAGGCGACGCUGCUGCCAGGCGGCGAGGUCCUCGUCCACCAAGGCGACGACGCUUCCGUGCGGCGAGGGGAUCAAUCUGGGGAUCUGUUUCUAUUUUUAUGGGAUAUAUACGUAUCUUUUUUUGUGUGGCCUAUGUGAUGCGUGAUUGUAGGGGGUUUGGUCGAGCGCGUGUUGGGUCUCUAUUUUCCUCCGCGGUGGAGUAUGUCAGCCAAUUUAAAUCGGUAAGUGCACACCAGAAACAUAUCAGGUUACAAGGCUACCUGUUGGGUUGUGAUUAGUGAGCCUGAUCAUGUGGUGGUAUUGGGUCUGUGCAGGGCCGGUCCUGAGAUUUUGGGGGCCCGGGGUGAA